GCGAGCGUAGUUUACUUGGUUAAAAUGUUGGUUUGUCAUACCAGAGAAGCGAGUUCAAUUCUCGUCGUUCGUG
rnacentral:tRNA from 1 species